rnacentral:rRNA from 1 species
UUUGAACGCUGGCGGCAUGCCUUACACAUGCAAGUCGAACGGUAACAGGUCUUCGGAUGCUGACGAGUGGCGAACGGGUGAGUAAUACAUCGGAACGUGCCCGAGAGUGGGGGAUAACGAGGCGAAAGCUUUGCUAAUACCGCAUACGAUCUCAGGAUGAAAGCAGGGGACCGCAAGGCCUUGCGCUCACGGAGCGGCCGAUGGCAGAUUAGGUAGUUGGUGGGAUAAAAGCUUACCAAGCCGACGAUCUGUAGCUGGUCUGAGAGGACGACCAGCCACACUGGGACUGAGACACGGCCCAGACUCCUACGGGAGGCAGCAGUGGGGAAUUUUGGACAAUGGGCGCAAGCCUGAUCCAGCCAUGCCGCGUGCAGGAUGAAGGCCUUCGGGUUGUAAACUGCUUUUGUACGGAGCGAAAAGACUCUGGUUAAUACCUGGGGUCCAUGACGGUACCGUAAGAAUAAGCACCGGCUAACUACGUGCCAGCAGCCGCGGUAACAC